rnacentral:ncRNA from 1 species
GGGUGCGUGAUAAAUGUCAUCGCGCAGGAAUCGAGGUGGUCGGGCCGCCACCU